UUCUAAAAUUUUAAAACAAUUUUUAAAUUUUAUGGGAAAGUGAAUUGAAUUGAUUUGGAAGACAAGAUUAUAUAUAAUAAUCCAAAUUAGAAAAAGUAAUGAUCUUAUUUCAAUGAUAAAAACUAUAUUGGGAAAGGUUAUGUCUUAAGAUCGAUCCACAGUUGUCGUUAGUACAAAGCAUUGUGUCGUGAAGAACACGUGUAUUCAUUUACUGCGCAUCUUGUCCGCGCAGUUAACCGUAGACCAUAGUCAGUGACACAGCUUGUUGAUCGUAUGGUAAAUUUUUCCAAUUAAUUCGGUAAAUAUUACGGAUAACUAGUAUAUCGUAUAACAAAGUUUUUCUGAUGAAGUUCAAAGAUAUAUUAUUUUUUUGAUGUGUAUCGUUUCUACUAAUAAUAGUACAUCAGAGGAAAAAAUAAAAUGUGACGAGUGUUUCAAGCGAAAGAGGCUAUAUCUUGUGUCAAAAUAGUGCAGAUAAACAUAUAAACAAUCUUUUUUAAUGCAAAUUUGUAUUUAAUUAUUAAAUACUAUUGAAUGUUUAGAUCUAAUUAUAUAUAUAAUAAUUACAUACAUUGUUCUUAAGUUUUUAAUUUAUUAUGUAUUUCAAGGCAUAAUUAGUUACGAGAUUCAAAGUGGAAGUGAAGUUCUAAUAAAUUUUCGAACAAAUUCUCUUCGACGAUUAUUUCGUUCAAUGAUGUAUUUCUAAUUUUUUCCUACCUGCUCGAGCAACAAAAUGUGAGUAUCCAUGUUCGACAAAGUUCACUUUUAAUUAAACAGCACGAGUGAGUAUACAUCAAUCUUAAUUUACGAGUGGGAAUAAAAUAAAUUGCGCGAGUUACAUUCGUGAUUACAAUAAUACACGGGUCAAACCAUCGAGAUACACGUAUAAUGAAAAUUUUACGAAAAUAUCGUAUUGUUCCGAACAUAUUUAUACAUUUAACGAUACUUCUGUAAAUAUAUUUUUUACGGUUGAAGAGCGAUAUUUUAUAAUUUCUGCUCAUCAAAAAAAUAUCAUCUCUGUUCGAGCGUAAUCUCGAAUGUAAUCCAAUUACAUCAUUCGAUAUCAUCGACAAAUGAUCUUUUAUUUGUUGUUUUUUUAUUAUCGUUUUAUUUAUUUAAACGUAACAUGAUUUUAAUGGUUUAAUGAAUUUAAUCUAUUCAAUUUUUC